rnacentral:rRNA from 1 species
CCCUUAUGUUCUGGGCUACACACGUGCUACAAUGGCCGGUACAGACGGACGCAAAGCCGCGAGGCGGAGCAAAUCCGAAAAAGCCGGUCUCAGUUCGGAUUGCAGGCUGCAAUUCGCCUGCAUGAAGUCGGAAUCGCUAGUAAUCGCAGGUCAGCAUACUGCGGUGAAUACGUUCCCGGGCCUU